AUGGCCCUGAAUCAAGGUCAAUAGUCUUCUAAAGAUGUUGGUUUCAAGCAGGAGCCUGAAGUAGUAUCAUUCUAUGGUCUGUUGACCAUUUUAGGACUUUAGAAAUGAUGGUCAAUUCAUUAAAGAAACAAUU
ensembl:snoRNA small nucleolar RNA SNORA2/SNORA34 family